rnacentral:rRNA from 1 species
UACAGAGGGUGCGAGCGUUGUUCGGAAUUACUGGGCGUAAAGCGUGCGUAGGUGGUUGUUUAAGUCUGUUGUGAAAGCCCUGGGCUCAACCUGGGAACUGCAGUGGAAACUGGACAACUAGAGUGUGGUAGAGGGUAGCGGAAUUCCCGGUGUAGCAGUGAAAUGCGUAGAGAUCGGGAGGAACAUCCAUGGCGAAGGCAGCUACCUGGACCAACACUGACACUGAGGCACGAAAGCGUGGGGAGCAAACAGG